GUAAAUAUAGUUUAAACAAAACUCUAGAUUGUGAAUCUAACAAUGAAGACUUAAAUCCUUCUAUUUACC
rnacentral:tRNA from 2 species